rnacentral:lncRNA from 1 species
CUACGGCGGCGAGAAGCUGCAAAAAUUGAGCGGCUGGUGGCUUUGUCGGAACUCGGAAGUGAGUUUGCAGUUGAUGGAGUUGAGAAAAAUUGACUAAGAGGAGAGGUGUUUGGCGGCCCAGAAACCCGAUUAUGCCGUGAGAGAGUGGUGUAUAUUGCGGCACAGAGUGGUGGCGGUUUGGUGUCCCCUGCCAUGGACGAUGGUGGGGAACGGUGGUGGACUGGUGGUUUUGUUUGAGA